AAUCCGUAAAAAUACAGUACAAUCUACUGUAUAAACGUGAAGGAAUUUUCCGUAUUAGUCAUUUACAGGUAUUUUUCUGUAUUUCUCAACUACUGCAAUGCAUUGUGGGAAAAAGAACCUGAAAAGGAGGGAAAAGUAAGCGCAAGAGCAGCCAUUAGGCUUCUUUCAGGCUUCAUCUGGAUUUUGGAUUCUGAAGUUGGAGAAACUGCCUUCAAAUUUCUGUGUGCAGAGCAAUGGCCAAGAAAAGGAAAGACUUCCCCGAGUGGAAAAAAAAGAUGAAGAUACAAGCUGGUGAUGAUCCAGAGCAGCUGGUCUCAGGAAAUGAAGAAAAACCCUGAUCACCUUCUCUACAAACACAAGAAUAAAUUGCGACUAGUCUCAAUGGCUGACACGGAGGAGCAACACAGCGACACGUUAACUCCGACUGCUGCAGUUCCUGUAUGAACUGAGCAACUCUUAAAAUCCAAGGAAAAGCUGAGUGUAUUUUACUUAAAGCUCAGAUGGACCUUGAUGUACUAACAUGCAGGCUGCAUUCAGGACUUUGUCACACUGUUAUAUGAAGAGCGGUAACAAGACUUUGUAGUAAUUUGUCUUACUAUUGUCUUAUUUGUUGUGAUUUAGGGUCUGUGCGCACAAGCAGAGGUUUUUGUUUGUAACUGUAACCUCGUUUUCAGAGCCUUGUCUAACAUUUAAUGGUCAUGAAAUAUGUCAGACUUUUUCCUCUACUUAACCAGCUUAGAGAAUUUGAACACCGUGGAGAAAAAGGUGUGCAUUAAGGAUUUUGAACUAUGAUGUUUAAGUGUUGUCACUGCUGAGGAUUCGUGGACACAGAUCCUUAUUCACUAUGCUGCUGUUUACAGUUUAACUUUUCAUCAGAACAAGCAC